rnacentral:rRNA from 1 species
UCGCGUUUUCGGAGCGGCCGAUAUCGGACUAGCUAGUAGGUGAGGUAAAGGCUCACCUAGGCGACGAUCCGUAGCUGGUCUGAGAGGACGACCAGCCACACUGGAACUGAGACACGGUCCAGACUCCUACGGGAGGCAGCAGUGGGGAAUUUUGGACAAUGGGCGAAAGCCUGAUCCAGCCAUGCCGCGUGAGUGAAGAAGGCCUUCGGGUUGUAAAGCUCUUUCAGCCGGAAAGAAAACGCAUGGGUUAAUAACCUGUGUGGAUGACGGUACCGGAAGAAGAAGCACCGGCUAACUACGUGCCAGCAGCCGCGGUAAUACGUAGGGUGCGAGCGUUAAUCGGAAUUACUGGGCGUAAAGCGUGCGCAGGCGGUUUUGUAAGACAGAUGUGAAAUCCCCGGGCUUAACCUGGGAACUGCAUUUGUGACUGCAAGGCUAGAGUACGGCAGAGGGGGGUAGAAUUCCACGUGUAGCAGUGAAAUGCGUAGAUAUGUGGAGGAAUACCGAUGGCGAAGGCAGCCCCCUGGGUCGAUACUGACGCUCAUGCACGAAAGCGUGGGGAGCAAACAGGAUUAGAUACCCUGGUAGUCCACGCCCUAAACGAUGUCAACUAGGUGUUGGGGGAGGAGACUUCCUUAG